UACGUAGGUGGCAAGCGUUGUCCGGAUUUACUGGGCGUAAAGAGCUCGUAGGCGGUGUGUCGCGUCGGCCGUGAAAACCUGCAGCUUAACUGUGGGCUUGCGGUCGAUACGGGCAUCACUGGAGUUCGGCAGGGGAGACUGGAAUUCCUGGUGUAGCGGUGAAAUGCGCAGAUAUCAGGAGGAACACCGGCGGUGUAGACGGCUUCUUGGACCGUAGCUGACGCUGAGACACGAAGACGUGGGUAGC
rnacentral:rRNA from 1 species